rfam:Proteus penneri ATCC 35198 genomic scaffold Scfld3, whole genome shotgun sequence.
AAAGUCUCAACGGGGUGCCUUUUUAGGCUGAGAAAAACUCGUGGAACCUGAUCCAGCUAAUACUGGCGUAGGGAUUUGAGUCAGGAUGUUGC